rnacentral:misc_RNA from 1 species
UCUGACAAUAACUUUAGUGGAGAAGUGCCAUCUAGCCUAGGGAAACUUAGUGGAAUGAUUAAUCCUAAUCUCGAUGCCUCAUUACUUUAUUAUUAUGAAGUUCCUGCAAGCGUUUACCAGCGGCGUGGGCAAAUUUCCUCCGCUAACUAUCCGAACUUUGAAGUAUCUUGGAAAAACAAGAUGCAAGAUCUUCCCAGCAAAAACCUUAAUCUCUAUACUUUUUUAGAUCUAUCAAACAACCAAUUAUCUGGCGGAAUUCCUGAUACAUUAGGUUGUUUGAGAAAUUUAAAAGUACUGAAUAUGUCUCACAACAAGCUCUCAGGUGGA